rnacentral:lncRNA from 1 species
AUAAAGAUAUACAAAUAGAGGUGGCUGAAGAUGCUCUUAAUGACCUUAAACGUUAUAUAUUAUUUCAGGGGUUUAAGGCAAAUACCUCUUUGAUUACACUAUAAGUACGGGUCUGAUCGCAGACAAUGUUUUGAGCAAAAAACUUGUUUAACACUUCUAGAGAUUUGAUUAGUUAUAUGUUAUCGCAAACAAUGUGUUUGCUUGUGGUAGUGUGUGGUAGUAAUUGAUAGCGUACAAUAACAAUCACGAUAAAUGAUUUUUACUGUUACAUACCAU